rnacentral:rRNA from 1 species
UAUUAUUCUAGAAUUAUUUUUUUCCUAGGUUAGUAAUAGGUAUUUACUUAAAAGCUAAAAAAUUUGGCGGUAACUUAAUCUUUUCAGAGGAACUUGUUUUUUAAUUGAUAAACCUCGAAGUAUCUUACUUAUUUAAAUAACUAGUUUGUAUACCGUCAUUAUCAGGUAAUUUUUAAAGAAUAAAUUACUAAAAAUAAAGAAUUAUAAAAAUUAGAUCAAGGUGCAGCUAAUAAAUAAGUUAAAAUGAGUUACAAUAAAAUAUUUUAUAGGAUAAAUAGAAGAAUUUUUAUUUUGAAAUAGGAUUUGGUUGUAUUUUAAGUUUAAUAAGCUUAAAAGAUGUUAGUUCUAAGUUAUGUACAUAU